rnacentral:rRNA from 1 species
UGGGGAAUCUUCCGCAAUGGACGAAAGUCUGACGGAGCAACGCCGCGUGAGUGAAGACGGCCUUCGGGUUGUAAAACUCUGUGAUCCGGGACGAAAGAGCCUAAGGUUAAUAGCCUAAGGAAGUGACGGUACCGGAAAAGCAAGCCACGGCUAACUACGUGCCAGCAGCCGCGGUAAUACGUAGGUGGCAAGCGUUGUCCGGAAUUAUUGGGCGUAAAGCGCGCGCAGGCGGCUUUCUAAGUCCAUCUUAAAAGUGCGGGGCUUAACCCCGUGAUGGGAUGGAAACUGGGAAGCUGGAGUAUCGGAGAGGAAAGUGGAAUUCCUAGUGUAGCGGUGAAAUGCGUAGAGAUUAGGAAGAACACCGGUGGCGAAGGCGACUUUCUGGACGAAAACUGACGCUGAGGCGCGAAAGCGUGGGGAGCAAACAGG